AAAGCAACAAAAGCGCCAGAACUUGUCGAUACGGAAAAGAUGGCAAGUUGACGAGGUGGAGGUGUUCGGAACGUUCGGCGGGGACCUCCCGGCUCAUGAUCGGAGCCGACAGUCGGAAGACAAAACGCUUAGGGCAACCAGGCGGACAAUAUUCCGAUACGAUAUCAA
rnacentral:ncRNA from 2 species